rnacentral:rRNA from 1 species
UACGGAGGGGGCUAGCGUUGUUCGGAAUUACUGGGCGUAAAGCGCACGUAGGCGGCUUUGUAAGUUAGAGGUGAAAGCCCGGGGCUCAACUCCGGAAUUGCCUUUAAGACUGCAUCGCUAGAAUUGUGGAGAGGUAAGUGGAAUUCCGAGUGUAGAGGUGAAAUUCGUAGAUAUUCGGAAGAACACCAGUGGCGAAGGCGGCCUGCUGGGCAGUAGCUGACACUGAGGCGCGACAGCGUGGGGAGCAAACAGG